rnacentral:rRNA from 1 species
GACUGAGCGGCGGACGGGUGAGUAACGCGUGGGUAACCUGCCUCAUACAGGGGGAUAACAGUUAGAAAUGACUGCUAAUACCGCAUAAGACUACGGUACCGCAUGGUACAGCAGUAAAAACUCCGGUGGUAUGAGAUGGACCCGCGUCUGAUUAGGUAGUUGGCGGGGUAACGGCCCACCAAGCCGACGAUCAGUAGCCGACCUGAGAGGGUGACCGGCCACAUUGGGACUGAGACACGGCCCAAACUCCUACGGGAGGCAGCAGUGGGGAAUAUUGCGCAAUGGGGGAAACCCUGACGCAGCAACGCCGCGUGAUUGAAGAAGGCCUUCGGGUUGUAAAGAUCUUUAAUCAGGGACGAAACAAAUGACGGUACCUGAAGAAUAAGCUCCGGCUAACUACGUGCCAGCAGCCGCGGUAAUACGUAGGGAGCAAGCGUUAUCCGGAUUUACUGGGUGUAAAGGGCGCGCAGGCGGGCCGGUAAGUUGGAAGUGAAAUCUAUGGGCUUAACCCAUAAACUGCUUUCAAAACUGCUGGUCUUGAGUGAUGGAGAGGCAGGCGGAAUUCCGUGUGUAGCGGUGAAAUGCGUAGAUAUACGGAGGAACACCAGUGGCGAAGGCGGCCUGCUGGACAUUAACUGACGCUGAGGCGCGAAAGCGUGGGGAGCAAACAGGAUUAGAUACCCUGGUAGUCCAUGCCGUAAACGAUGAUUACUAGGUGUUGGGGGAUUGACCCCCUCAGUGCCGCAGUUAACACAAUAAGUAAUCCACCUGGGGAGUACGACCGCAAGGUUGAAACUCAAAGGAAUUGACGGGGGCCCGCACAAGCAGUGGAGUAUGUGGUUUAAUUCGACGCAACGCGAAGAACCUUACCAGGUCUUGACAUCAAGUGACCGCCUAAGAGAUUAGGCUUUCCCUUCGGGGACACAAAGACAGGUGGUGCAUGGUUGUCGUCAGCUCGUGUCGUGAGAUGUUGGGUUAAGUCCCGCAACGAGCGCAACCCUUAUCAUUAGUUGCUACGCAAGAGCACUCUAAUGAGACUGCCGUUGACAAAACGGAGGAAGGUGGGGAUGACGUCAAAUCAUCAUGCCCCUUAUGACCAGGGCUACACACGUGCUACAAUGGCGUAAACAAAGGGAAGCAAGCCUGCGAGGGUAAGCAAAUCUCAAAAAUAACGUCUCAGUUCGGAUUGUAGUCUGCAACUCGACUACAUGAAGCUGGAAUCGCUAGUAAUCGCGAAUCAGAAUGUCGCGGUGAAUACGUUCCCGGGUCUUGCACUCACCGCCC